AUAUUUAAGAUUAAAGCUCCGGCGGUUAAAGAUGGGCAUGCGUGACAUUAGCUAGUUGGUGAGGUAACUGCUCACCAAGGCUACGAUGUCUAGGGGUUCUGAGAGGAUGAUCCCCCACACUGGUACUGAGACACGGACCAGACUCCUACGGGAGGCAGCAGUAAGGAAUAUUGCGCAAUGGAGGCAACUCUGACGCAGCCAUGCCGCGUGAAGGAAGAAGGCCUUAUGGGUCGUAAACUUCUUUUAUUUAGGAAUAAUCCCCCCGACUUGUCGGGGGUUGAAGGUACUAAACGAAUAAGCACCGGCUAACU
rnacentral:rRNA from 1 species